rnacentral:rRNA from 1 species
CCUACGGGUGGCAGCAGUAAGGAAUAUUGCUCAAUGGGGGAAACCCUGAAGCAGCAACGCCGCGUGGAGGAUGAAGGUUCUCGGAUUGUAAACUCAUUUUUUUAGGGGAGUUAAUGACGGUAUGUAACGAAUAAGCACCGGCUCACUCCGUGCCAGCAGCCGCGGUAAGACGGAGGGUGCCAGCGUUACUCGGAAUCACUGGGCGUAAAGGGAGCGUAGGCGGGUUAGCAAGUCAGAUGUGAAAUCCUAUGGCUUAACCAUAGAAUUGCAUUUGAAACUGUUAUUCUAGAGUAUGGGAGAGGUAGGUGGAAUUCGUGGUGUAGGGGUAAAAUCCGUAGAGAUCAAGAGGAAUACUCAUUGCGAAGGCGACCUGCUAGAACAUAACUGACGCUGAUGCGCGAAAGCGUGGGGAGCAAACAGGAUUAGAUACCCGAGUAGUC